UACGUAGGGCGCAAGCGUUGUCCGGAAUUAUUGGGCGUAAAGAGCUCGUAGGCGGUUUGUCGCGUCUGCUGUGAAAUCCUCAGGCUCAACCUGGGGCUUGCAGUGGGUACGGGCAGACUAGAGUGCGGUAGGGGUGACUGGAAUUCCUGGUGUAGCGGUGGAAUGCGCAGAUAUCAGGAGGAACACCGAUGGCGAAGGCAGGUCACUGGGCCGCAACUGACGCUGAGGCGCGAAAGCGUGGGUAGCAAACAGG
rnacentral:rRNA from 1 species